rfam:Brachypodium distachyon strain Bd21 chromosome 3, whole genome shotgun sequence.
GUGUGUCUAUGAUGAUCUAAAAGCAUCGGUGAAUUCUGGAUGAAUGCGCUUGCGCACGAACAGUGUGCAGCUCUGGUGAUAUCCCUGCGUUAUUCAUCUGAGACACGC